CCUCCUCAGUGCAGUACUGCUUCUUCAUUCUUGUCAUCGCUGAUCUCUACCACUCUUGCGGUUUGAGAGAGAGAGAGAGAGAGAGUUAUAUAAACAUAUAUUGAGGUUAUUGUUCUAUAUAUGGACAGUAGUGGAGUUUCUGGGAUAACAGAAAUGUCUAGUGAAGUAGCACCAAAAAAUUCUCAACAAAGCAUAGGGCAGGUUUCUGAUGAAUUCAAUGGGAAGAGAAUUUUACGAAGGUUCGAUUCCUUGACCUCGAAUCCUCCACUGUUCCAGGUCGUCAUGGCCAUGACUCCAAGGCUGUGGGGUGGUCAGUGAUAUUGCAUCUAGCAUUCUAGAGCAUAGGAAUUGUAUACGGAGACAUUGGUACUUCACCGCUAUAUGUGUAUGCAAGCACUUUCACCGAUGGAAUCAAGCACAACGGUGAUAUUUUGGGUGUUCUUUCUUUGAUAUUUUAUACCCUCACUUUAAUCCCUCAGGUUAAGUACGUUUUCAUCGUCUUACAGGCCAAUGAUAAUGGCGAAGGAGGGACGUUUGCUUUGUACUCUCUUAUAUGCCGAUAUGCCAAGGUUGGUUUGAUCCCAAAUCAGCAAGCUGAGGAUCAGGACGUUUCUAAUUUCCAGCUUGUGUUACCAAGUAGUCGUCAGCGAAUAGCAUCGGUGGUUAAGGCUAAACUGGAAAACAGCCAGUUUGCCAAGUUCUUCUUAUUGUUUGCAACAAUGCUUGGUACUUCCAUGGUGAUUGGGGAUGGUGUCCUUACGCCUUGUAUCUCAGUUUUAUCCGCUGUGGGAGGGAUCACCAACGCUACAACUGAAAUCACAGAAGAUAUGAUUGUUUGGAUAUCAGUAGCUAUCUUGAUCUUCUUAUUCAUGGUUCAAAGAUUUGGAAAUGACAAAGUGGGCUAUACCUUUUCUCCAAUAAUUUGUGUUUGGUUUGCAUUCAUCGGGGGUAUUGGACUUUUCAAUUUCAUCAAAUUUGAUCCAACAGUCAUCAAAGCAAUAAACCCACAAUACAUAGUACAAUAUUUCCAAAGGAACAAGAAAGAUGCUUGGGCUUCUCUAGGUGGCAUUGUCCUUGCCAUAACAGGAACGGAAGCACUAUUUGCUGAUGUUGGCCACUUCACAGUUAAGUCCAUACAAAUAAGUAUGUGCUCAGUGACUUACCCAGCUCUCAUAUUAGCAUAUGCUGGACAAGCAUCCUUCCUUCGUAAACACAAUGAUCUUGUCAAGGAAACCUUUUACAAGUCCAUUCCAGAACCUUUGUAUUGGCCAAUGUUCGUGGUGGCUAUUUUUUCAUCAAUAGUAGCUAGUCAAGCCAUGAUUUCAAGGACUUUCUCUAUAGUCCAACAAUCUCUCUCACUAGGGUGUUUCCCUCGAGUGAAAAUUAUGCAUACAUCGGCUAAGUACGAAGGACAGGUUUAUAUACCAGAAGUCAAUUACCUUCUUAUGUUGGCUUGUGUAGGGGUCACUUUGGCUUUCAAGAGCACCACAAAGAUUGGCAAUGCAUAUGGCAUAGCAGUGGUGUUUGUGAUGACUCUCACAUCAGCUUUCCUAGUGCUAAUCAUGAUCAUGAUAUGGAAAUCCCACAUACUCUUAGUUAUCUCCUAUGUUCUUGUUAUUGGCAGUGUGGAGCUUUUCUAUUUAAGCUCAGUCUUCUACAAAUUUGAUCAAGGAGGAUAUCUUCCCCUAGCUUUUGCUACAAUACUAAUGACUAUAAUGUAUAUUUGGAAUGAUGUGCAUAGAAGAAAGUACUUUUAUGAGCUUGACCACAAAAUCUCUUUAGAGAAGCUCAAGGAGAUAGCUGCAGACAAAAAUUUAUGUCGAAUGCCUGGGUUAGCCAUGUUCUACUCAGAGCUUGUCCAAGGCUUCCCGCCCAUUUUCAAACACUAUGUGGAAAAUGUUCCUACGCUGCACUCAGUUCUCGUCUUUCUCACUAUCAAGUCACUACCUAUUAGCAAGGUCCCAGUGGACGAGCGUUUCCUCUUUCGUCGAGUCAAGCCUAGAAACCAAAAUGUGUUUCGAUGUGUUGUUAGGUAUGGGUACACUGAUGUACGUUCUGAGGAUGAGCCUUUUGAGCAAAUGAUAGUUGAAAGAUUGAAGCAAUUUAUUAUAAAUGAUUUUUGGUUCUCACAAAGGAAACUCAGUAAUGGUGAAAAUGAUGGUGAAUUGGAAGUUGAGUUUGUUAAUGAAGAGGAUGAAAAUGAGGAUGUAGAGCAUGUUGAGGAAGAGUUGGAUAUUGAGAUUGAAUCUAUGGACCAAGCAUCGCAUGCCCGUAUUGUUCACUUAAUUGGUGAGAAUGAAGUAGUUGCAUGUAAAGGAUUUGGUAUUGGAAAGAGAUUUCUGAUAAAUUAUGCUUUUAAUUUCUUGAAGAAAAAUUUGAGACAAACUGAAAAUGUAUUUGAAAUUCCCCAUAAGCGCAUGCUAAAGGUGGGCAUGACUUAUGAGCUUUAGAACAUGUAGUGACAGUGCAUACGCAAGCUAUGGUCUUUGUAUACAUGCCUUUUCUAAAAUUAGUACAGUUUUUAUCAUACAAGGAUUGAAUGUUGGCCAUGGAGUUUCCACUUAAAUGCAUUAGGGAAAAUUACAACUUAC